UACGUAGGGGGCGAGCGUUGUCCGGAUUUACUGGGCGUAAAACGCUUGUAGGUGGCCACGCCAAGUCGGACGUGAAAUCUCCCGGCUUAACUGGGAGGGGUCGUUCGAUACUGGCGGGCUCGAGGCAGGUAGGGGGAAGCGGAAUUCCUGGUGUAGCGGUGAAAUGCGCAGAUAUCAGGAGGAACACCGAUGGCGAAGGCAGGUCUCUGGGCAUUAACUGACGCUGAGGAGCGAAAGCAUGGGGAGCGAACAGG
rnacentral:rRNA from 1 species